rnacentral:rRNA from 1 species
UACGGAGGAUGCAAGCGUUAUCCGGAUUCAUUUGGUUUAAAGGGUGCGUAGGCGGGGCGGUAAGUCAGUGGUGAAAGCCUGCAGCUUCACUGUAGAAUCUCCAUUGAUACUGACGCUCUUGGAUGCGGUUGAGGCAGGCGGAAUGUGUAAUGGAGCGGUGAAAUGCUUAGAUAUUACACAGAACACCGAUUGCGUAGGCAGCUUGCUAAACCGUGAUUGACGCUGAGGCACGAAAGCGGGGGGAGCAAACAGG